GACGAACGCUGGCGGCGUGCUUAACACAUGCAAGUCGAGCGAUGAGGUUUCUUCGGAAAUGGAUUAGCGGCGAACGGGUGAGGAACACGUGAAGAAUCUGCCCUCCACUUCGGGAUAACACCGGGAAACCGGUGCUAAUACUGAAUAUUGAAACAUAAGUGGCAUCACUGAGUUUUGAAAGAAUUUCGGUGGAGGAUGACUUCGCGGCCUAUCAGCUAGUUGGUGAGGUAAUGGCUCACCAAGGCAACGACGGGUAGCCGGCCUGAGAGGGCGACCGGCCACACUGGGACUGAGACACGGCCCAGACUCCUACGGGAGGCUGCAGUGGGGAAUAUUGGGCAAUGGAGGAAACUCUGACCCAGCGACGCCGCGUGCGGGAUGAAGGCCUUCGGGUUGUAAACCGCUUUCAGUAGGGAAGAAGCGAAAGUGACGGUACCUACAAAAGAAGCACCGGCUAACUAUGUGCCAGCCGCCGCCGUAA
rnacentral:rRNA from 1 species